rnacentral:rRNA from 1 species
GUGGGGAAUAUUGCACAAUGGGGGGAACCCUGAUGCAGCGAUGCCGCGUGGAGGAAGAAGGUUUUCGGAUUGUAAACUCCUGUCUUAAAGGACGAUAAUGACGGUACUUUAGGAGGAAGCUCCGGCUAACUACGUGCCAGCAGCCGCGGUAAUACGUAGGGAGCGAGCGUUGUCCGGAAUUACUGGGUGUAAAGGGAGCGUAGGCGGGAUCGCAAGUCAGAUGUGAAAUACAUAGGCUUAACCUAUGGGCUGCAUUUGAAACUGUGGUUCUUGAGUGAAGUAGAGGUAAGCGGAAUUCCUGGUGUAGCGGUGAAAUGCGUAGAUAUCAGGAGGAACACCGGUGGCGAAGGCGGCUUACUGGGCUUUAACUGACGCUGAGGCUCGAAGGUGCGGGUAUCGAACAGG